rnacentral:rRNA from 1 species
AUAGCCACCGAAAGGUGGUCUAAUACCUUACAGUAUCCAUCUCGUAUGGAUUAAAGCUUUAUGCGCUUUGGGAGGGGCCUGCGUUUGAUUAGCUAGUUGGUGAGGUAAAGCUCACCAAGGCGACGAUCAAUAGCUGGUUUGAGAGGAUGACCAGCCACACUGGGACUGAGAUACGGCCAGACUCCUACGGGAGGCAGCAGUAAGGAAUCUUCCACAAUGGGGCAACCCUGAUGGAGCAAUACCGCGUGCAGGAUGAAGCGUUUCGGCGUGUAAACUGCUUUAUCACCGAAGAUUAUGACUGUAGGUGAAGAAUAAGGACCGGCUAACUACGUG